rnacentral:rRNA from 1 species
GACGAACGCUGGCGGCGUGCCUAAUACAUGCAAGUCGAGCGAAUGGAUUAAGAGCUUGCUCUUAUGAAGUUAGCGGCGGACGGGUGAGUAACACGUGGGUAACCUGCCCAUAAGACUGGGAUAACUCCGGGAAACCGGGGCUAAUACCGGAUAACAUUUUGAACCGCAUGGUUCGAAAUUGAAAGGCGGCUUCGGCUGUCACUUAUGGAUGGACCCGCGUCGCAUUAGCUAGUUGGUGAGGUAACGGCUCACCAAGGCAACGAUGCGUAGCCGGCCGGAGAGGGUGAUCGGCCACGCUGGGACUGGGACACGGCGCAGACUCCUACGGGAGGCAGCAGUAGGGAAUCUUCCGCAAUGGACGAAAGUCUGACGGAGCAACGCCGCGUGAGUGAUGAAGGCUUUCGGGUCGUAAAACUCUGUUGUUAGGGAAGAACAAGUGCUAGUUGAAUAAGCUGGCACCUUGACGGUACCUAACCAGAAAGCCACGGCUAACUACGUGCCAGCCGCCGCGGUAA